rnacentral:rRNA from 1 species
AGAUCAAAUUGUUGGUCGUGCCUCGGUACGUACUGGCAUUAUUGAUUUCUCCCUUCUGAAGAACCACGAUGUCAUUAAUUUGGUGUCUUGGGGAAUUAGGACUGUUACCUUGAAAAAAUUAGAGUGUUUAAAGCAGGCUAACGCUUGAAUACAUUAGCAUGGAAUAAUGAAAUAGGACGUUUGACCCUAUUUUGUUGGUUUCUAGGAUCGACGUAAUGAUUAAUAGGGAUAGUUG